rnacentral:rRNA from 1 species
CCUACGGGAGGCAGCAGUGAGGCAUAUUGGUCAAUGGGCGCGAGCCUGAACCAGCCAAGUAGCGUGAAGGAUGACUGCCCUACGGGUUGUAAACUUCUUUUAUAAAGGCAUAAAGUGAGGCACGUGUGCCUUUUUUGUUUGUCUUUAAUGAAUAAGGAUCGGCUAACUACGUGCCUGCAGCCGCGGUCUUACGGGGGGCCCGAGCGUGCUUCGGACUGGUUGGGUUGAAAGGGAGCGUAGAUGGGUUGUUAAGUCAGUUGUGAAAGUUUGCGGCGCAAACGUAAAAUUGCAAUUGAUACUGGCAGACUGGAGUACAGUUGAGGUAGGCGGAAUUCGUGGUGUAGCGGUGAAAUGCUUAGAUAUCACGAAGAACUCCGAUUGCGAAGGCAGCCUACUAAACUGCCACUGACAUUGAUGCUCGAAAGUGUGGGUAUCAAACAGGAUUAGAUACCCCAGUAGUC